rfam:Patagioenas fasciata monilis isolate BTP2013 Sc31e1R_4, whole genome shotgun sequence.
CCUCUACUUUAACAUGGGAGGUACUUGCUGGAUGCCUAAAAAAGUAAGUGCUUCCAUGUUUUAGUUGUGG